CGGGGAGCGGGAUGGGGAGCGGGACGGGAACCGGGACUGGGAGAGCGGGAGAGCGGGGUGUUGCAGCAGUAACACAACGCAAACUGCUCUCACAGGGCAUUCAUCUGAAAAAGCAGCAGAAGAAAAAGAGUAAACAAUAAAUCAUUCCUGAACAAGAGAGCUCUGAACUCAAAAGCCAUGACGUGGAGCUGUUAUCUGAGUUGUUGCUGUCUCUAAGUAAUAGCAGCCCUGCUCGGCACCACGUGCAGUGAAUAACCACUGAUGUUCUGCUGUUCCUCUGACAGCUUCCACUCCCCAUGAACGCAUCCCACUGCUGCAGGUCUGCCUUGCUUCACAGUCUGACCAUCCCUGCUGAGGGUUGCUGCUUUGAACACGUUCCACUAGCCCAGGUUGCUCCAAGCCCUGUCCAACCUGGCUUUGAACACUUCCAGUUUGAUUGCUGAGUCCAAACAUUCAUAAGGCAAAAAAAAGAAAAAAUUUCCAUCUACACAUCAGCAAUGAUCUACCCAGUGGCACAAGAGAGAAACAAAAAGCUGAUUUUUCCCUUGCCACAACCCCAGCUGUAAGAAUGUGAACAAUGAGGCACAGAGCACCAAUGAAGUUCCAAAGAAAACAAGUUUACAUGCAGACAGGCUUGAGCCAGAUAAGCUGACACAAUCUGUAUCCCAUAUGAGAAGCUUUGCCAGGGAAUUUGAAGCCAAUCUUUGCUUCCAUUUUUAAGCAGAAAAUCCUUAUGUCAGAGGAAAAAAAACUGUACAGAAAAGCAUGGACUGAGUAUUUGGGGCAAAAGGCAUAAAAAUAAAGCUGCACCACUGAA